UGUUGUGACAUUAUUAACAGAUUUUGCUGAGUGCAAAGGAAGAACACAUACCAGGCAAGCUAGCCAAGCUGGAUAUAAACCUGGAAGGGCAGAAAGCCAAAGUAGCCUUACUGGCUGUUGAUACAGCCAUCUAUGCCUUGAACGUCCACAACAGAUUAACCCCCAAACAGGUGUUCGCCUCCAUGCAGUCCUAUGACCUGGGCUGCUCGUAUGGAGGGGGCAGUGACACGGCUAAUGUUUUCAAUGAUGCUGGGCUGUCCUUUAUUUCUCACUCUAAGACAGUCAAAUCAAGGAUGAGAAUAGGCUUUGGUUGUGAGUCUGGCUUCCGACGCCAGAAACGUUCCCUUGACCUACAGCAGCUCAUGAACUCCAAAGGUCAGUCCUG